UACGGGGGGAGCAAGCGUUGUUCGGAUUUACUGGGCGUAAAGGGCGCGUAGGCGGCCUCCGCAAGUCGACUGUGAAAUCUCCGGGCUUAACCCGGAAAGGUCAGCCGAUACUGCGGGGCUAGAGUGCAGAAGGGGCAACUGGAAUUCUCGGUGUAGCGGUGAAAUGCGUAGAUAUCGGAAGGAACAUCAGUGGCGAAAGCGACUUCCUGGACCAAUACUGACGCUCAUGUGCGAAAGCGUGGGGAGCAAACAGG
rnacentral:rRNA from 1 species